CACUUAUCCAAGGAAGCCGCUGCUGAGACUGCUGCAGGCCUCUGCUCUCACUCUCCAUGCAUAAACUCAGCCAUAGGAAAACCAGCUCCGGAGUAACAAGUGAAAACAUUCAGGGCAAUGAAAAAUCCCUUCUGCUCUGUUAUUUCCUCAUCACAGCCACUUAUCUGUGUACAAGCUCAAAACAUUUUUAAAAAGCAGCAACACCGUUGCACUCAGUGUUUACGUGGAGGAACAAAAUCAUCACUACCGCCCUUCCCUAAGGACAGCACAGCGCCUCAGAAUUCACCUGGAAAGACAGCCUAACAAAUCACGAAACACCUUCCUCAUUGCAGGUGGGCUACAAUCCACAGGUUGAGAACAACCACUCUUCAGCUCCUGAGCCAGGCAGAGGCCUCUCUUGCUGGCAGUUGAGAGGAGUCCAUUCCAGGCUUUUGCCCAAGGCCAUUGGAUGAAUCAUUGGUGAAGACAAAGUGCCUAGCCUUCGAGGUGUGGCUGCUCUAGAUGACAGACCAUCUAUCAGUUUUCUCCUUGAUUCAUUCAUUUUCAAGGGCCAAAACCAUGACAACAUCCAUGGUUCUCAUUGGCAAGACUCAUUAAUGACAGCAAGCACCCUACAAGGCCUUCCAUGCAAAAGGUGAGAGAUAUCAGUUCCUGUAAAAGGGCAACACACUGCACAAAGCCCAGCCAUGCACAGAGCCAAUGUGUGCUGUGAGGUCAGAGGCCAGUAAGGUGUGCAUUCCAUAAAGAAUGUCUGAACUUGCCAGAUCUUGGGGAAGUUGGACUUCUCCCAAGAAGAGUCUUGCCCUGACUCUUGAUAACUGUCAGCACAUCUCAGAAAGGCAGGAACUCUUGAGAUAGAAGUGCCAAGCAGCCGGGAACCAUUAAGGCUAAAAUUCAAGUUGCUGAAGGAAACCGGAGCCUGGGUUCUUCUUUCUUCUCCAAGCUGAGCCCUGAGAAUUCAGGGAAAGAAUGCCAUUAAUGUGAAUGCACUCCAGGCCUAGAUAGCAACAUUUCACCAAGGCAGUGAAUUGCAGCACACGGUUUCUCAUUGACAUUUUGGACUGCAUUGUUCUUUCUUAUGAUGACCUUUCCUGAACACUGUAAGGUGCUGACCAAUGCCUCUGGCCUCUACUGUCUAAGUACCAGCAGCAUCUCCUGCUGGUGACUAUGACAACACUGUCUCAACAUUGCCAAAUGUGUCCCAGCAGACAAAUUCAUCCUCACUGGAGAACCAGUACUACAGUGGCUAAAAGUGUGUGUUCUGGAAUCACACCGUCGGUCUAUCAAGGGACCUUACAAGAUAUAUUAAUUAUUGUGAUCCUCCAUACCCUCAAUGGAGCUAAAUAUGCUAAAAACAGGUUAGAGGAACGAAUGAGACAGGCUUCAUAGAACCCAUGACACAUAUCACACCUGCUUGUCAGAAAAGGAAACUGAGGCCCAGGGAUAUAAGAGGAAUCCUGCAGCAGUGAGCAGCCAUGCUGGGGUUUUACCAUUGCAUGGCAUAGUCCCUAAAAUGUCCCAGAACCACUGUAUCUAGCCCCAUCCUGGACACUGUAGCUAAAGGAGCAAAAAGAGAAAAAUCUCUGUACCACAUCUCCAGAUUUAGCAAAGUAAACAGCCCAGCAGGAUCCUGCGUCUACAGGAGUGCACACUUAUUCGGUGCUGUCUUCCACAGUGUGUUUGAACCUCAAAAGGCAAACAACCACCACAGAAUCAUACACUCCUCUGCAAGCAGUCCUAUGGCCGCCUUACCACCGUGCAUCCUAUCCUCUCCUGAGUCGGUUAGCCCACUGGUUGGCUGCCUAUCUUUUAAAGCAUAGAAGAUGGAACACAGUUAAGGAGACAGUCUAAUGGCAAUAAGCAAAGUAGACGAGGCGAUGGCACUCAAUGUGUUAGAGGACGGCAGGAAGAGAGCCAAGCUUCUGUACUUCUAUUGCUCCUCUGCUCUGCAGCUUUAUGCAAGCCCCUGCACUUCUCUGGACUUCUGAUACCUCCUUUGUUUAAGUGCAACAAAGGUGGCAGUGUCCACCUUCAAGGAGCCGAACUGUUCUUCUCAACACUCUACUACACCAUGACCUCUUUACCAUAAUGAACUGACAGCUUUGAAACCAUGAGCUAAUGUAAAUCUCUCUCUCUCCCUCUCCCUCUCUCUCUCUCUUUCUCUCUCUCUCUCUCUCUCUCUCUCUCUCUCUCUCUCUCUCUCUCUCCCUCUAUCUCUAUCUCUAUCUCUAUCUAUCCCUCUAUCUCUCUCUGCGUGUGUGUCUUUAUGUGUGUCUAUGUAACUCUGUUUCUCUGUCUGUCUCAGUCUGUCUCUCUGUCCCUGUCCCUGUCCCUGUCCCUGUCUCUGCCUCUCUCUCUCUCUCUCUC
ensembl:lncRNA